rnacentral:piRNA from 1 species
AGGAGAUCCCAGAAGGCUGAAGAUU